CACGCCGUAAACGAUGGGUGCUAGGUGUGGGGGGUGUCGACUCCCUCCGUGCCGAAGCUAACGCAUUAAGCACCCCGCCUGGGGAGUACGGCCGCAAGGCUAAAACUCAAAGGAAUUGACGGGGGCCCGCACAAGCAGCGGAGCAUGUGGUUUAAUUCGACGCGACGCGAAGAACCUUACCAAGGCUUGACAUGCACGGGAAUGUCGUAGAAGUACGGCAGCCUUUCGGGGCUCGUGCACAGGUGGUGCAUGGCUGUC
rnacentral:rRNA from 1 species